UUUCCGUAGGUGAACCUGCGGAAGGAUCAUUGCCACACACGAUCCAAGAUCGACACUAAUUUGUGAAAUGUUAUUGUUAUUUACUCUGUUUGGUUAUAAUGAAGUAGUGGAGAAAGCCGACUCUUCGCGGAGCACCGGUGAUCGAAACUAUGAAUUUGUAGCUUAGGAGUACUUUAUCAAACACCCCUUUAAACAAAAAUGAAAUAUGCAUUGGAACAAAACAGUCAUAACAAGUUUGUCUUGAUAUGGCGACUAGAUUGAAAAUUGUAAAAAACUUUUGGCAACGGAUAUCUAGGUUCUU
rnacentral:misc_RNA from 1 species